CCGGUGCCAUGGCUACCAACAUUCUCUGGCUGUCAUAGCUACCUGACACAUCUCAAAGGAUUCUGAGGUCAUCUCAAACAACUGACUCUGUUCCCAUAGCGAUCAGUGGGAAAAGAGUCCCACGUGCAGAGGGUGCACUGAACCGUUCCCCGAAGGUGCUGGCCCAUCUCCACUGGCUGUGGAGACAGCCUGAAUGACCAGCUUAGAUUAAAAGCCUAAAUUUCAUGCAGCUACAGUCAGGGGAACCCACUCCCACCAUUUAGAGGCGUUUUCAAGCUCGUUGGACACUUUCAGCAAAAUCCAGCAGCAGGUUCACAGUCCCAGUGAGGUCAGUCACUGCACAUCUGGAGGCCCAGGAGAGUAACCACAGUCCUUCUCUCUGGCCUUUUAAACUCUGUUCCUAAACUGAGGCAGAAGAUAGGGAGGAAGCCUGUCCUCUGAGGGCCAUGGAUGCAUCAUUACCUGAGUCACUCCCAGUCCAAUUAGACAUCCAUGCAGCCACCAUAUCACGCAGAGUAAUCAGCUCCAAAGCCAACACCAUAAUCUCUUCACAUGUCAGAGCAGUGCACACAUCAUUCCAGGGAGAAGUCAGGGAACGGGAGAUCGGAGCCAAGCCCCACUCUCAGCCAUGGCAGCGCAAAGCCGCAGCGGGUUUGGUGAAGCCAAUUAAGCUGCACAAGUGCCUGUAAAUCAGCCUCGAACCAAAUAAAGCAGAAU
rnacentral:lncRNA from 1 species